AAAAAAAAAAACAGACGCCGACAAAGUGUGUUUUAAGGUUUAUUGCAUGGAUGUUAUUCAACAUCCUUAACAAACUACCGGUAUGUUCUGAAGUCACAGGUUCUGAGUUUACUGGGUUUGGACUGCUUGCUGUCUCGUGUGUAAAAGAAGAUGACAACUAAUGGGGCCAACAUAUAAAGCAACAGUACCAUAGUGAUAUAUGAUGAAUAUUCGUCAAAGAAUGGAAUGAACGUCAUCGUUAUACUGGUUACAGAGCUCAUAGUCGUGGUAUCCAUCUUCCUUAUACUUCUGAUACACUUUCUCAGGAAAAGUUAAGAAGGCUGAAUCCAGAAGUCUUUAAUCUGUGUACAGAUAUAUGAAAAAAUGUUUCAAAACGUUUCAUUUCAUUAAUGUCUUACAAAGCAAGCUUUCCGGUGUAUAUUUUAAAUCAUAUUUCAUACAGGGACUCAAAAUUCAUUCUAAAAUUUUCAGUUUUUUAGUGUUGUUUCCUAACAAUAAUGAUUUCAACUUCUCCAUCGUCAACUUCCCAUAAUUAUGUAGCAAUAUUCCAUUACCACUUACAUAUGGUGUUUACAUCUUUUAACUGAUUCGGUACGCAAGAGUUUGUUCUGUGUAUGGUCAGUAUUUCAAUCGAGGCAGGCUACUGACAAACAAGUUGAUGAUGCAGGGGUUUCAAUAGUCUCGUUUAAAGUCAGCAUUUCGCAAAUUCUAUAGUCGUUAUAACGAUUUAGUUUGCCAACACAACCUAUCAUUGGAUGAAAUGCUGUGUGAUGUGUUUCACGCCGAUUGUUAGGCCGUUCUUGGCAUCUCGAUUUUGACUACGGAUAACUACGUUUACCUGAUCAAGAUAUAGGGCUCACCUCGGGUCGUCAGGGGAUGCUAACUCCUCCUAGACACCUGAUCCCACCUCUGGUAUAUCCAGGGGUUCGUAUUUGCUCAACACUCUAUUUUGUAUAGCUUAUAGGAGUUAUGAAAUUGAUCACUGUUCGUUAUCUUUGCCUUCCUUAAAAUGAAAAUUGAAGAAUGCUUCAAACAGUAAAAUCAUUUGUUAAUAUAGGUAUCAAUAUUACCAAUUGAUUUAUCAAUAAAUACAAAACACGUGAUAUCAAGCUGUGAGGAAAUUUACAGAAACAUGUUUAGAUGUUCGACAUAUAUUGAUUGAUUGACUGAGGUUUUACGCAGUUUUGGCAAUAUUUCAGCCAUUUUACGGCAGUUCACUUAUUGAAAUAUGUUUGGUUGUGAGUGUUUGAGUUUCUCCACCAGGGAAUAUAUAUAUAUAUAUAUAU